GUCAACUACCCCCUCCUGAAUCACAGAUUCAGAAGGGGCUUGUAAAAGCCCGAGUUGACUAGCCUGAGUCCUUGUUAUCGGGGACUACGUUCGGCAGGAUGUAGAUACCUUUGGAUAUAUUCGCCAGUCCAAAGCACUAUCGUGGCUCUGUAAAAGCCCUGUGAGGUAGGGGCGGUCAACCAUAUUGCGAAGCCUGCUGAACAUUGGCGAGGCGAAUCUUAC
rfam:Desulfobacter postgatei 2ac9 chromosome, whole genome shotgun sequence.